UUCACUUAUUAUUUCAUCUUAAUAUAGUUUUUUUAUACGGUUUUUUUAUUUAUUUUACGGUUUUGAUAACUUCGAAGAAAAAAUAAUUUAUAUCAUGCAUGCAUCACAACGUUUGAUGACUUUUCUACAAGACAAGAACAGAAUACCUGAUGCAACUUUAUUGAUGCAACUUCAAAAGUGAAAAAGUUUCAACAUGGACAUAUUUUUUUAAGGAGAAAUUUGAUACAGAGAUGGUGUGCGGUGUAUGUGUAUUCAAUGGAGAGGGAAAAUUGACAUGGAGGGAGAAGCAUCGCGGUGGAAAUUGUCCUCCUUUUCGAGGGGGGGUGUGAAAGGGGAGGUCGAGAGAGGUUGGAUGCGGCCAAGGGUCUUCUCUCCAGGAAGCAACCGGCAGAAGCCAUUAAAGCGAGCGGAGAAUGCGGUGGAGCUAAUGCGUCGUGAAUUAGUGCAUCAGCGAUACGAGCGGAUGUAUCGAGAGGUUCACGCCAAACCGUGUCAUGCAUAAUUUACAAAGUUAUCGAGAACGUCGUCGAAAGAACGUGUUGCCGCGCCACUUGUGGCCGAAUACUGAAGUUUCUCUCAAGAAGGCCUACCCUCUUACGUCAUCACAUCAGCCAUUGGGCCAUUGGACCUAGUAACACUUUUUCGAUAGAUCGCAACAUUCGCAGUAAUAUCGAAUCUCGAUUUCGACUUUACAUCCAGAUCACCUGUGAGUUUUUUCAUAAUCAUAGGCUAAGUAAAAGAUAAAAUGGUGAAAAAGUGAAUGUGGCAAAUAUUUUUUCUUAUUAUUUAGUGAUAUAUAGGAAAAAGAAGAGAAUUUUCAGUAGAAAAAGGAGGGAAAGAAGAGAUAAUUUGUAAAAAGCCAUAAACUUUACUUUCUAUCUGACGAUCCAAGUAUCAGAAAUCGAAUUAAAAAAAGCUGAAUUAAACUUAACAGAUUCGCAAGCUUAUUCGAAGAUUAUUCGAAAGAGGACCCAUUUUCCAUCAUCAUCGAAUCAAUGGUCACGGUCGAGAACAUUGUCGUUACAUUUUAAUCCUGUUACAAAGCACUUAACUAGUUAAUGGCCGUUUCUUACUUUCGUCUUGCGUUUGAACGGAAGUGGCGGAAAUUGCACAAGUUUCGUUGCGAGAAACUAUCGUAAAACUUGGACGCUGUUUAAAUCGAAGGUGGAUUAAUCAAGAUCUAGAUAUUUUCAGUUAACAGUUUUCUCUCCACGAAUUUUCGAACAAUCUGUUCGUUUCUUCACGUUCUUUCAAAAAGAAAGAUUAUGGAAUAAGUUUAUGCCGAUCCCGUUUCCUCGUAUUAUCGGCAAUGUUUUGUUCCUCCACCGGUAUUAUCGCGCGGUUACAUUGGCAAAAUCCAAAGUGGAAGAAGAAAUUUCAUCGUUAACGAAUCGAAAGAGGAUACGGAUGGAAGGAAAACUGGAUCGGAAUUGAUUAGCGGAGUUGAUCAAAGUAUAAAGUUUCAUCAAUUCUUUGAUGAAACUGAUUCCUGCAUCAAGACACUUAAUUAGCACUUGCUUUGCAAUCGAUUGUGAUUUAAAGCUUAAUUAAACAACACUCAAAAAAUAUGAAGGACCAAUUUAUGAUAAUAAGAGAAAGUAACAAGCAAUAUAUGUUGAUAAAUAGAAUAAAAUUGUACAUGCAUAAUAAAAAUGAAUAAUUGGAUGGAUCUGUGUUGACUCGAAGAAGUAAUGAAAGCUAUGUAAAAUAUAAAUAUUGGAAUAAUAAUGAAGUAUAAGGAUUAAUUAGAAAAAAGUGUAUUAUGUAAAUGAAUAUAUUAUAUUAUAAAUUAAAAAAUCAAAAAAUGUUCUUCAAUAAUUACAGAAAUGAAUAGACUUUAAGAAAAAGAAAACAUUUAUUUCUUCCAUUUACUCCAAUCACAAGAUUCAAUUUACGUUACAAGUAUGGCUUAAAGCAAAUUUAUCGUUAACUUGACAGGAUGAACUUAUCCAAGAAGUAUCUUGCGUGGUUCGAGGGAGGAAUCGGAUAAUAAUUAGUCGUUGCUUGCCACUGGGAUCGUCGAUUAAGGCCAAGAGGCGUCGUUUCUUCCAAUUAUGAAGGAAAGCUUCGGAGAGCCGCUAUAAUACUCGGCUUCCCUCUAAGGAAGGGCUCUAAUCGGUGAAAGCAUUAAUCCUUAGGCAAAGGGAAGUUAAGUGUUUAACGCGAGCCUAACGAGUGGAUAAAGAUCAACUUUUUGCUUCAUCCUCGAUGAAAAUUAAAUUUGUCGAUUUUUCAAUUAGAAGCGUUUCUUUUAAGUGAAACGAUGAUUGCAUAUAAUGUACUUGUAAAUAGGUGAUAUUACAUGUAUAUAACACAUAUUUUCUUCCAUGUUUUAUGGGUGCAAAUUUGCCAUGCAAUUUGUUGAGAUUAUUGAUCUUUAUAGUAA
rnacentral:lncRNA from 1 species